rfam:Arabis alpina cultivar Pajares chromosome 2, whole genome shotgun sequence.
GUAACCUUGGCCGAGUGGUUAAGGCGUGUGCCUGCUAAGUACAUGGGCUAUGCCCGCGAGAGUUCGAAUCUCUCAGGUUACG